UACGAAGGGUGCAAACGUUGCUCGGAAUUAUUGGGCGUAAAGCGCACGUAGGCGGCUCCGCAAGUCGGAUGUGAAAUCCCUCGGCUCAACCAAGGAAGUGCAUCCGAAACUGCAGAGCUUGAGUACCAAAGAGGAUCGCGGAAUUCCCGGUGUAGAGGUGAAAUUCGUAGAUAUCGGGAGGAAGGCCGGUGGCGAAGGCGGCGCUCUGGAACAUUUCUGACGCUGAGGCUCGAAAGCGUGGGGAGCAAACAGGG
rnacentral:rRNA from 1 species